rnacentral:lncRNA from 1 species
CUUAGACCUGCUUAGUUUGAAACCCUUAAACUCUAGAGUCUGUCUCCAGACCUCCAACCUCUCGUUAACACCAACCCUCGUCUCGUCUAUCAAGACUAUGUCAUCCGCAAAUAGCAUACACCAAGGCACAUCCCCUUGAAUAUGUCGGGUAAGAGCAUCCAUCACCAAGGCAAACUAGAGAAGGCUAAGCGCCAAUCUUUGAUGGAGCCCCAUAACCACUGGAAAAUGGUCUGAGUCGUCACCCACCGUCCUAACCCUAGUCUUAGCUCCAUCGUACAUGUCCUAAUGACUCUAAUGUAGGCUUCUCGUACGCUCUUCGCCUCCAAACACCUCCCUUUUGAGUCGCCACCCGCCGUCCUAACCAUAGUCUUAGCGCCAUCAUACAUGUCCUUGAUUACUCUGAUGUAGGCU